AGUAACGCGUGAGUAACCUGCCUUUCAGAGGGGGAGUAACGUUCUGAAAAGAAACGCUAAUACCGCAUGAGACUACAGAGCUGCAUGGCUCAGUGGUCAAAGGAAGCAAUCCGCUGAAAGAUGGACUCGCGUCCGAUUAGAUAGUAGGCGGGGUAACGGCCCACCUAGUCGACGAUCGGUAGCCGGACUGAGAGGUUGAACGGCCACAUUGGGACUGAGACACGGCCCAGACUCCUACGGGAGGCAGCAUG
rnacentral:rRNA from 1 species